UAAUUUCCAAAACCCUAUUCAAUUUACUCACUCCCUGAGCCGAGUCCCCAAACGUUUUCUCCCAAUUUCUGAGAUCUGCGCAAAACCCUAAACCCCAUUGCCGAUUUUGCUGCGAAUUCAGUCAAAAUGUCGAUGUCGAAGAGUUCUAAGAUGCUUCAAUACAUCAAUUAUCGUAUGCGUGUUACUAUCCAAGAUGGCCGUCAAUUGAUCGGUAAGUUUAUGGCAUUUGAUCGACAUAUGAAUCUUGUACUUGGCGAUUGUGAAGAGUUUCGUAAGCUUCCUCCUACUAAAGGUUCUAAGGAAGAACGUGAAGAUCGCCGUACACUUGGUCUUCUUCUUCUCAGAGGUGAAGAAGUUAUUUCCAUGACUGUUGAAGGUCCUCCACCUCCCGAUGAUUCUCGUGUUAAAGCUACUGCUGGUGGUGUUUCUGCUGUUCCUGGACCUGGGUUGGGUAGGGCUGCUGGUCGGGGUGUUCCGACUGGUCCGAUGGUUCAUGCUCAGCCGGGUCUUGCUGGUCCUGUUCGUGGGGUUGGUGGACCUGCACCGGGAAUGAUGCAGCCGCAGAUUUCUCGUCCGCCGAUUAAUUACCCGCCGCAGCCUCCUCCUCCUAUGGUUCGACCACCUGGUGGUGGACCUCCACCGCCAAUGCAAAUGCAAAUGCAAAGACCUGGUGGCCCACCUAUGCCACCGCCGCCACAGUUCAGGCCUGGCGGGCCUGGACCAUUUCCGCCUCAGUUUGGUCAGAGGCCCAUGGGACCACCACCGCCACAGAUGAUGAGAGGUCCUCCACCACCGGGGGCGCAGCCACCAAGACCGGGAAUGCCUGGUGGACCACCUCAUCCGGGGAUGCCUCCACCACCUCCUGGUGGGCAAGUUCCAGUCUUUGGACCUCCUCGCCCAGGAAUGCCACCUCCUCCAAAUGCACCUCACCAGCAGAAUCAGCAGCAGUAGAAUCUAUCAUUUCAUGGAAGAUGGCCUAUAUAUGCAAUACUCGCAAAAUAUGAUGAACACCUUUUUCUCCUUGAAAGAUCACCUGUCUCUGAUCAUUUGGUUUUUGCACUGAAGAUGGUGCGCUGUUAUGAUGUUAUCUCUUGAUGGAUCUGGAAGGUGUGGAUGGAAAUUGCUCUGGUUUUGAAUAUAUAGUGAUAUAGGUUUUGGACAGACAGAGGUAUUGAGAAAAUAUCGUGGACACUAAAUUUGUCUAGAGUUUGAAUAAUAUCUUUUGUUGACAUGGUAUCCUUUCAGAGAGUAUUGAAUUUCUCCCUUCGUCCUUCACUUCCUUGUCCUACCAUUUUCUUCCAUCCUGUGAAAAAAACAUCUUUGCUUGAAUUGAAUCUCCACCAUGGAAAAGUAUUGUCCACUUUUACUAUUUUCACAGCGAGUCAAUAUUAUAAAUUAUAAAAUAUCUGUAACAAACUCAAAUAAAGUAACUUAUGACACAUUUUUCUAUUGAUCAAUUAAAAUGAGGUGGGUGGUCAUUGAACUUGCAAGCUUAAGUUCUGUAGUAUGCUGGGUUCUUAGGCUGUUCAUUUUGCUUCAGUUUUUACGUUACAUAUUUAUGGCUUAUGUACUAACUAACUAUGCAUAAUUGGCUUGUUCGAGUAUUUCCCAAGUGUUAGUGUCUGAAGCAUUUGUGGUAGACCACACUGCAUUGCAAUAUCCUCUUAUGAUGACGAAGUAUAAUGUUAGUCUGGAGUAGUGCUACAGAAGUUGUAUUCUUGCAACCAUUGUAGAAUAUCUUGCUAAAAGAUUUGGAUCAAGGUUGGAUUGUUAAC